rnacentral:rRNA from 1 species
UACAGAGGUCUCAAGCGUUGUUCGGAAUCACUGGGCGUAAAGGGUGCGUAGGUGGCGUGGAGAGUCAGAUGUGAAAGCCCGGGGCUCAACCUCGGAAUAGCAUCCGAUACUACCAUGCUAGAGUACUGAAGAGGUGACUAGAAUUCUCGGUGUAGCAGUGAAAUGCGUAGAUAUCGAGAGGAAUACCAACGGCGAAGGCAGGUCACUGGGCAGUUACUGACACUGAGGCACGAAGGCCAGGGGAGCAAACGGG